rnacentral:lncRNA from 1 species
GGUAGGUUCUUAUUACUUAACCAAUCUCAAUUGGAGGCCACCUUAGCAAAAGCCGACCUCAUCAGAAGACCAUCCCCAAGAAGCCAGUCUCAUCAGAAAACCGACCUCAUCUGAAGAUUGAGGUCAGUGAAAGUCCGACCUCAACAUCACCUGGACAUGGUGAGUCUAAGUUGAAGACUACAUUGGCCAACGACCAGCUUAUUUCUCCGAUGGCUUCGAUGAAAAAUCAACAUUAGCUGCCUAUGGCACCUGAUACUUC